UGGUGACAAAGAUGCCAGCCCGGCCAGGCCAGCGGGAGACAAGUUCCUUGGGUGAGGGAGACGGGACGGGGCUCCCUGCACGACAUUCUGGAGCUCACAGUCUGGAUCCUGGACACCACCUGGUCACCUGUUGGGAGCUCUUCACCCACUCUGGAGAGCAGCAUGAAGCAAAAGACAAAGAAAAGAAGCAUUCCUGGCCACCUGGUUUGUUCUUCCUGCUGGGCCACGGCUGGGUAGCACCUUCUCCUGUCCAGCUCCACAGUGGCAGAGUUGGGCAGGAGCCAGCUUAUGUGAAGACCAAAUUGGAGAAUAAAAGAGUGUGUGCCGACAUCUCCGCCACCCUGAGCCACAUGAAGAGUGUGUUCACAAGGACUCGGUGGGCACCCUGCUAUCGGGAAACAUGACAGGCAUCACCUGGC
rnacentral:lncRNA from 1 species